rnacentral:rRNA from 1 species
GGAGGAGCAUGUGGUGUAAGUCGAUGAUACGCGAGGAACCUUACCUGGGCUUGCACGUAUGGUGCAUGAGUGUGAAAGCACUCGGUCCGUCACAGGACUUCAUACGAGGUGCUGCAUGGUUGUCGUCAGCUCGUGCCGUGAGGUGUUAGGUUAAGUCCUGCAACGAGCGCAACCCCUGUUUUUAGUUGCCAGCAGGUUAUGCUGGGCACUGUAGAAAGACUGCCUGCGCAAGCAGAGAGGAAGGUGGGGAUGACGUCAAAUCAGCACGGCCCUUACGUCCAGGGCUACACACGUGCUACAAUGGUCGGCACAGAGGGUUGCUACCCGGCAACGGGAUGCUAAUCUCCAAAGUCGAUCUUAGUUCGGAUCGAAGUCUGCAACUCGACUUCGUGAAGUUGGAUUCGCUANGUAAUCGGUAUAUCACGCCAUGAUACGCGUGAAUACGUUCCACGGGCCUUGUACACACCGCCCGUCAAGCCAUGGAAGUUGGGGGUACCUGAAGUCGAUUACCGAAAGGGA